rnacentral:rRNA from 1 species
UGGAUCCAGACUUUGAUUAUGGCUCAGGAUGAACGCUAGCUACAGGCUUAACACAUGCAAGUCGAGGGGAAACGACAUCGAAAGCUUGCUUUUGAUGGGCGUCGACCGGCGCACGGGUGAGUAACGCGUAUCCAACCUGCCCACCACUUGGGGAUAACCUUGCGAAAGUAAGACUAAUACCCAAUGAUAUCUCUAGAAGACAUCUGAAGGAGAUUAAAGAUUUAUCGGUGAUGGAUGGGGAUGCGUCUGAUUAGCUUGUUGGCGGGGUAACGGCCCACCAAGGCAACGAUCAGUAGGGGUUCUGAGAGGAAGGUCCCCCACAUUGGAACUGAGACACGGUCCAAACCCCUACGGGAGGCAGCAGUGAGGAAUAUUGGUCAAUGGACGAGAGUCUGAACCAGCCAAGUAGCGUGCAGGAUGACGGCCCUAUGGGUUGUAAACUGCUUUUAUAAGGGAAUAAAGUGAGUCUCGUGAGACUUUUUGCAUGUACCUUAUGAAUAAGGACCGGCUAAUUCCGUGCCAGCAGCCGCGGUAAUACGGAAGGUCCGGGCGUUAUCCGGAUUUAUUGGGUUUAAAGGGAGCGUAGGCCGGAGAUUAAGCGUGUUGUGAAAUGUAGACGCUCAACGUCUGCACUGCAGCGCGAACUGGUUUCCUUGAGUACGCACAAAGUGGGCGGAAUUCGUGGUGUAGCGGUGAAAUGCUUAGAUAUCACGAAGAACUCCGAUUGCGAAGGCAGCUCACUGGAGCGCAACUGACGCUGAAGCUCGAAAGUGCGGGUAUCGAACAGGAUUAGAUACCCUGGUAGUCCGCACGGUAAACGAUGGAUGCCCGCUGUUGGUCUGAAUAGGUCAGCGGCCAAGCGAAAGCAUUAAGCAUCCCACCUGGGGAGUACGCCGGCAACGGUGCAACUCAAAUGAAUUGACGGA